GCCAGCGUAGCUCAGCGGUAGAGCACUUCCUUGGUAAGGAAGGGGUCGCGAGUUCAAUUCUCGCCGCCGGCUC
rnacentral:tRNA from 1 species